UGGCCAUGUCAUGUUAAAAUACUAGUUCUUAUCUGAUCAUUGAAGCUAAGCAACAUUGAGUCUGGUCAGUACCUGGAUGGGUGACUGCUUGGGAAUACCAGGUGCUGG